rnacentral:tRNA from 1 species
GCCUUCGUAGUGUAGUGGUCAGCUCACUGGGCGCGUAUUCCAGAGGUCUGUGGUUCGACUCCCGGCGAGGGCA